rnacentral:lncRNA from 1 species
GUGCUCUCGCUCAGCAAAUUCGAAUUUUUCAUGAGUCAUCAAGUUUGAACGAGGAGCAGAAGAAGAAAAAUGAGUAGGAAUCAGAAGCAAAAGAGAAGCAUGAAGAAGAAAGAAGUACGAUUUACAAGUAGCAGAAGAAGCACGAACCAGAAGAAGAAAAGAAAUAGAACCAAGUUUUAACCCGAUUUUAUAUAUUUUCUAUUAGAUUCUUGUAUAAAUAUGGUAAUUUUUUGUUCAUCUAUCUUUCUACCCU